rnacentral:rRNA from 1 species
GUUGUAUGGUCAAGUAAUUAAGCGCACAUGGUGGAUGCCUUGGCAGUCAGAGGCGAUGAAAGACGUGACAGCCUGCGAUAAGCUUCGGGGAGGCGGCAAUAUCCUGUGAUCCGGAGAUUUCUGAAUGGGGAAACCCACUUAGCGUAAGCUAGGUAUACUAAUUUAUUAGUAAGCGAACGAGGGGAAGUGAAACAUCUCAGUACCCUUAGGAAAAGACAUCAAUAGAGAUUCCCCUAGUAGCGGCGAGCGAACGGGGAGGAGCCGACGGAUUUAUAUGUAGAAGAACAGUGUGGGAAAACUGGCCAUAGUGGGUGAUAGCCCCGUAUUCGAAACAUAUAAUGAAGCAUAUUAAGUAGUGCGGAACACGAGAAAUUCUGUAUGAAGAUGGGGGGACCAUCCUCCAAGGCUAAAUACUCCUGACUGACCGAUAGUGAACCAGUACCGUGAGGGAAAGGCGAAAAGAACCCCUGUGAGGGGAGUGAAAUAGAACCUGAAACCGUGUGCGUACAAGCAGUGGGAGCCCACUUGUUGGGUGACCGCGUACCUUUUGUAUAAUGGGUCAGCGACUUAUAUUCUGUAGCAAGGUUAACCGUUAGGGGAGCCGUAGGGAAACCGAGUCUUAAUAGGGCGUCAUAGUUGCAGGGUAUAGACCCGAAACCGAGUGAUCUAUCCAUGAGCAGGUUGAAAGUGCCGUAACAGGCACCGGAGGACCGAACCCACUGUCGUUGAAAAGCCAGGGGAUGACUUGUGGAUAGGGGUGAAAGGCUAAUCAAACUCGGUGAUAGCUGGUUCUCCCCGAAAGCUAUUUAGGUAGCGCCUCGGACGAACACCAUUGGGGGUAGAGCACUGUUUCGGCUAGGGGGUCAUACCGACUUACCAAACCGAUGCAAACUCCGAAUACCGAUGAGUGAUAUCCGGGAGACACACGGCGGGUGCUAACGUCCGUCGUGGAGAGGGAAACAACCCAGACCGCCAGCUAAGGCCCCAAAUUCCUAGUUAAGUGGGAAACGAAGUGGGAAGGCAUAGACAGCUAGGAGGUUGGCUUAGAAGCAGCCAUCCUUUAAAGAAAGCGUAAUAGCUCACUAGUCGAGUCGGCCCGCGCGGAAGAUGUAACGGGGCUCAAACUAGGAGCCGAAGCUGCGGAUUUGAAAAUUGUUUCAAGUGGUAGGGGAGCGUUGUGUAAGCCUGUGAAGGUGUGUCGUAAGGCAUGCUGGAGGUAUCACAAGAGCGAAUGCUGACGUGAGUAACGAUAAUGCGAGUGAAAAGCUCGCACGCCGGAAGAUCAAGGGUUCCAGUCCAACGUUAAUCGGGGCUGGGUGAGUCGACCCCUAAGGCGAGGCCGAAAGGCGUAGUCGAUGGGAAAUCGGUUAAUAUUCCGAUACUUGUUUAUGAUGUGAUGGAGGGACGGAGAAGGUUAUGCCAGCCUGGCGAUGGUUGUCCAGGUGGAAGGAUGUAGGUAGACGGCUUAGGCAAAUCCGGGCUGUUAAUACUGAGAUCUGAUAGCAAGCUAUACUUGUAUAGCGAAGUGGCAAAUACCAUGCUUCCAGGAAAAGCUUCUAAACUAUAGUCAUAAACGAAUCGUACCCUAAACCGACACAGGUGAUCAGGUAGAGAAUACCAAGGCGCUUGAGAGAACUCUGCUGAAGGAACUAGGCAAAAUGGUACCGUAACUUCGGGAGAAGGUACGCUGUCGAUGGUGAAGCCCUUUGCGGUGUAAGCUAUUGACAGUCGCAGAUACCAGGCUGCUGCAACUGUUUAUUAAAAACACAGCACUCUGCAAACACGAAAGUGGACGUAUAGGGUGUGAUGCCUGCCCGGUGCUGGAAGGUUAAUUGAUGGGCUUAGCGUAUGCGAAGGUCUUGAUCGAAGCCCCAGUAAACGGCGGCCGUAACUAUAACGGUCCUAAGGUAGCGAAAUUCCUUGUCGGGUAAGUUCCGACCUGCACGAAUGGCAUAAUGAUGGCAGCGCUGUCUCCAGCAGAGACUCAGUGAAAUCGAAAUCGCAGUGAAGAUGCUGUGUACCCGCGGCUAGACGGAAAGACCCCGUGAACCUUUACUACAGCUUUACAUUGAACUUUGACCUGACUUGUGCAGGAUAGGUGGGAGGCUUUGAAGCAGAUACGCCAGUAUCUGUGGAGCCAUCCUUGAAAUACCACCCUGGUCAUGUUGGGGUUCUAACUCAGGUAUAACAAUACCGAGGACAAUGUAUGGUGGGUAGUUUGACUGGGGCGGUCUCCUCCUAAAGAGUAACGGAGGAGUACGAAGGUGCGCUCAGAACGGUCGGAAAUCGUUCAUAGAGUAUAAAGGCAAAAGCGCGCUUAACUGCGAGACCCACAAGUCGAGCAGGUACGAAAGUAGGUCUUAGUGAUCCGGUGGUUCUGUAUGGAAGGGCCAUCGCUCAACGGAUAAAAGGUACUCUGGGGAUAACAGGCUGAUACCGCCCAAGAGUUCAUAUCGACGGCGGUGUUUGGCACCUCGAUGUCGGCUCAUCUCAUCCUAGGGCUGAAGCAGGUCCUAAGGGUAUGGCUGUUCGCCAUUUAAAGAGGUACGCGAGCUGGGUUUAGAACGUCGUGAGACAGUUCGGUCCCUAUCUACCGUGGGCGUUGGAAAUUUGAGAGGAUCUGCUCCUAGUACGAGAGGACCAGAGUGGACGAACCGCUGGUGUUCGGGUUGUCAUGCCAAUGGCAUUGCCCGGUAGCUACGUUCGGAUUGGAUAACCGCUGAAAGCAUCUAAGCGGGAAGCCAACCUCAAGAUUAGAUUUCCCUUAAGAGCCGUUCAAGACUAGGACGUUGAUAGGCAGGGUGUGGAAGCGCAGCGAUGCGUGUAGCUAACCUGUACUAAUUGCUCGUUUGGCUUGACCAUACAACACCCAAG